UUAGUAACGGCGAGUGAAGCGGUAAAAGCUCAAAUUUGAAAUCUGGUACUUUCAGUGCCCGAGUUGUAAUUUGUAGAAUUUGUCUUUGAUUAGGUCCUUGUCUAUGUUCCUUGGAACAGGACGUCAUAGAGGGUGAGAAUCCCGUUUGGCGAGGAUACCUUUUCUCUGUAAGACUUUUUCGAAGAGUCGAGUUGUUUGGGAAUGCAGCUCAAAGUGGGUGGUAAAUUCCAUCUAAAGCUAAAUAUUGGCGAGAGACCGAUAGCGAACAAGUACAGUGAUGGAAAGAUGAAAAGAACUUUGAAAAGAGAGUGAAAAAGUACGUGAAAUUGUUGAAAGGGAAGGGCAUUUGAUCAGACAUGGUGUUUUUUGCAUGCACUCGCCUCUCGUGGGCUUGGGCCUCUCAAAAAUUUCACUGGGCCAACAUCAAUUCUGGCAGCAGGAUAAAUCAUUAAGAAUGUAGCUACUUCGGUAGUGUUAUAGCUUUUUGGAAUACUGUUAGCCGGGAUUGAGGACUGCGCUUCGGCAAGGAUGUUGGCAUAAUGGUUAAAUGCCGCCCGUCUUGAACCACGGGACCA
rnacentral:rRNA from 1 species